UAUUUUGGCUAUGAUGACAAUGUUAUAAUCCCAGCUCUAUGAGACCUUAAGGUCUGGGAAUUGACUUUAUCCAACAUUUAUCUGAGCUUUUA
rnacentral:snoRNA from 1 species